rnacentral:lncRNA from 1 species
GAAAGCUGAGAGAAGGGGGAAGACAUGGACAGGGUAAGAGAGAGAGAAAGGAGAGAGAGAAGAAAGGGAAAAGAGGAGCGGGGAGAGAAAAGAGAGGCAGGAGAGAGAAUGAGGGGACAGAAGAGAGUAGGGAGACGAGAAGGCGGAGGACAGAAGAAAUGGGGGAGAGGGAAGAGGACAGAGAGGCUGCGCGCCUCCGAAUACCCCAAGUCCAGCAGAGCUGGAGGCCUGUGAGAGGAGCUGCGAGCUUGAGCAAAGGGAGAGAGGUGAGCGGAUGGAGGGAGAUUGGCAUACAACUCAGGAUUCAUAACUACAUAUAUACGGAUAGAAGUGCAUGAACAGAAAAUCUGCCCUUCUGGAAUACCAAAUGCAAAAUUAAAGUGACUACAAGCAGAAUUUGGAGAAAAAAAAUAAAAGAUGCAAUAUAGUUUUUAAAAUCAUUGUUAAAAUAUAAUGAGUCUGUACUUUGCUUAAACAAUAAAAAAGUCUUUGAUUUAUACUGAAUUCUGUUUUAUUUUGGAUAAGCUAAUAAUCUUGAAAAUGUCUUCUGUGUCAUUUUGGUUUUAUUCUAGUGAAACUCCCAUUUAUGUAGUGCAAAUUAUAUACAAAACUGUGUUCCCUAAGGGGAUCCCUUUAAUAGAAACACGCAAACUCAUUCAACUCUUGUCCUUUGUAGUAGUUAUUUAAUAAGUCUAUGCUAUACGUUCUAGGGAUAUCUGAAAUUAUGAAAUUUGUCAAUUCUUCUUACAAUUAUGAUCCUCAAUAUAACUCAGCAUAAGUCUGACUGUGCUUCUGAAGUCAGUUAGUUUAUUUAUUGUUAUCCAUGCUUAGGUGGAGAGAGAAUUUCC